rnacentral:rRNA from 1 species
GCUAACUACGUGCCAGCAGCCGCGGUAAUACGUAGGGGGCAAGCGUUGUCCGGAAUUAUUGGGCGUAAAGCGCACGCAGGCGGUUCCUUAAGUCUGAUGUGAAAGCCCGUGGCUCAACCACGGAGGGCCAUUGGAAACUGGGGAACUUGAGAACUGAAGAGGAGAGUGGAAUUCCACGUGUAGCGGUGAAAUGCGUAGAUAUGUGGAGGAACACCAGUGGCGAAGGCGACUCUCUGGUCGGUUUCUGACGCUGAGGUGCGAAAGCGUGGGUAGCAAACAGGAUUAGAUACCCCUGUAGUC